rnacentral:lncRNA from 1 species
GCAUAACAGUCUGAAGGGAGUGCUAGUACUCAAGUGCACGUUGGUGAAGAUCCCUUUUCUCCAUCUGCCUGGCGUUGAUCUCUUAGAUUCUGUUGUGCACAAUGGAGGGGGAAAUCAAACCAAACAGCAUCUUGAAGUAACACAGUGAGGAUUGGUGAUGGAAGUGGCAGUUCUGAACGUUAGAAUGGACUCAUUUUUAUAUCAGCAUGGAAUUAUUUUCCCCCAAGUCUCUGACAAACAUGUGGAGCAACUUCGCCUACCUUUGAAAAGAAUAGACGUGGCACGUUAGCAAGCCUGGAGGGCGGGCUGGUAUUGGAGGAGCGCUGCCUGCGCUGCGCGGAGCCGUGCCUUGCGCUUCACUGCAGCUCCGUGGAGGAGCACAUCUCCUGACUUCACCUCUCAGAGAGGCUGCGGAGAGCCGAGCAGAGGAGCUCUCAGCAGCUUUGCCUUGCGGUUC